GGUAGCGUGUCCGAGCGGCCUAAGGAGCACGCCUCGAAAGCGUGUGUGGGUGAGAGUCCACCGUGGGUUCAAAUCCCACCGCUACCGCCA
rnacentral:tRNA from 1 species